CCUACGGGAGGCAGCAGUGAGGAAUAUUGGUCAAUGGACGCAAGUCUGAACCAGCCAUGCCGCGUGCAGGAAGACGGCUCUAUGAGUUGUAAACUGCUUUUGUACGAGGGUAAACGCAGAUACGCGUAUCUGUCUGCAAGUAUCGUACGAAUAAGGAUCGGCUAACUCCGUGCCAGCAGCCGCGGUAAUACGGAGGAUUCAAGCGUUAUCCGGAUUUAUUGGGUUUAAAGGGUGCGUAGGCGGUCGGAUAAGUUAGAGGGGAAAUACCGAGGCUCAACUUCGGAAUUGCCUCUGAUACUGGUCGGCUAGAGAGUAGUUGCGGUAGGCGGAAUGUAUGGUGUAGCGGUGAAAUGCUUAGAGAUCAUACAGAACACCGAUUGCGAAGGCAGCUUACCAAGCUGCUUCUGACGUUGAGGCACGAAAGCGUGGGGAGCAAACAGGAUUAGAUACCCCGGUAGUC
rnacentral:rRNA from 1 species